GUUUGAUCAUGGCUCAGAUUGAACGCUGGCGGCAUGCCUUACACAUGCAAGUCGAACGGCAGCACGGGAGCUUGCUCCUGGUGGCGAGUGGCGAACGGGUGAGUAAUACAUCGGAACGUAACCCUGAAUGGGGGAUAACGUAGCGAAAGUUACGCUAAUACCGCAUAUUCUGUGAGCAGGAAAGAGGGGGAUCGCAAGACCUCUUGCUUUAGGAGCGGCCGAUGUCGGAUUAGCUAGUUGGUGAGGUAAAGGCUCACCAAGGCGACGAUCCGUAGCGGGUCUGAGAGGAUGAUCCGCCACACUGGGACUGAGACACGGCCCAGACUCCUACGGGAGGCAGCAGUGGGGAAUUUUGGACAAUGGGCGCAAGCCUGAUCCAGCCAUGCCGCGUGAGUGAAGAAGGCCUUCGGGUUGUAAAGCUCUUUCGGUGGGGAAGAAAUUGCUUCGGUUAAUACCUGGAGUAGAUGACGGUACCCGCAUAAGAAGCACCGGCUAACUACGUG
rnacentral:rRNA from 1 species